rnacentral:misc_RNA from 1 species
AAGUCGUAAGGUUUCCGUAGGUGAACCUGCGGAAGGAUCAUUAACACGUAUCCAACGUUAAAACAACCCUGUGAACCUUCAGCCUGCUCGCGUUCGAUAGCGCCACCCUUACACAAUCAAUGACUCUUUCAGACAAUUGCUUGGGGGUGCCGAGUCGAUUUGACUACCGAUACGAGAGUAACUGUAACUUCUCAUCGGCAGAGGUCCCUGACUCAAAAGCUGGUUCACAAUGAUUUCAGGGAUUGUGCUUUCAUGGGCUACGCAUCGUUGGAGGCCGACACGGCCGACGACCGGGUCCCUGGGUCACCAUGCCCCUUACUAACCACACUGUAAAUAAGUUGGGCCUGCGUUAGUCGCGGUCAAAAAAAAAACGAACAACUGUAACAAUGGAUAUCUUG